rnacentral:rRNA from 1 species
AGGCAGCAGGUGGGGAAUAUUGCACAAUGGGCGAAAGCCUGAUGCAGCUAUGCCGCGUGUAUGAAGAAGGCCUUAGGGUUGUAAAGUACUUUCAUCGGGGAGGAAAAAACAAAACUAAUAAUUUUAUUUCUUGACGUUACCCGAAAAAGAAGCACCGGCUAACUCCGUGCCAGCAGCCGCGGUAAUACGGAGGGUGCUAGCGUUAAUCAGAAUUACUGGGCGUAAAGAGCACGUAGGUUGGUUUUUUUAAGUUCAGAUGUGAAAUCCCUGGGCUUAACCUAGGAACUGCAUUUUGAAACUGAAAUACUAGAGUAUCGUAGAGGGAGGUAGAAUUCUAGGUGUAGCGGUGAAAUGCGUAGAUAUCUGGAGGAAUACCUGUGGCGGAAAGACGGCCUCCUAAACGAAUACUGACACUGAGGGUGCGA